GAUGAACGCUGGCGGCGUGCUUAACACAUGCAAGUCGAACGGAAAGGCCCUGCUUGCAGGGUACUCGAGUGGCGAACGGGUGAGUAACACGUGGGUGAUCUGCCCUGCACUUCGGGAUAAGCCUGGGAAACUGGGUCUAAUACCGGAUAGGAGCCAUUUUUAGUGUGAUGGUUGGAAAGUUUUUUCGGUGUAGGAUGAGCUCGCGGCCUAUCAGCUUGUUGGUGGGGUAAUGGCCUACCAAGGCGGCGACGGGUAGCCGGCCUGAGAGGGUGGACGGCCACAUUGGGACUGAGAUACGGCCCAGACUCCUACGGGAGGCAGCAGUGGGGAAUAUUGCACAAUGGGCGCAAGCCUGAUGCAGCGACGCCGCGUGGGGCAUGACGGCCUUCGGGUUGUAAACUCCUUUCGCUAGGGACGAAGCUUUUUGUGACGGUACCUAGAUAAGAAGCACCGGCUAACUACGUG
rnacentral:rRNA from 1 species